rnacentral:lncRNA from 1 species
UUUAUUUGUGUUGGAGCUGUUACUUUUUCCCGGCCCUGGUGUGUGGAUUAAAGAAUCUCUCCACAUGUUGUGGUGAGGUGAUGUUGCCGGAGCAAUAAUCUCAACAGAGCAGUAUGUCAUAGUUAUCGUACCAAAUGCCUUGAUGGUUGUACUUUGCUUUGUCAAGACUGGAAAUCUGUCUGGACUAAUCAAUUUCCAAAUGGUAUAUGCUUCCACCAAAUUUUCUACUAUGAUCAAUUUACAUCAGCAAUGGGGGGGAAAGAAUGAGCAGCAGGAAUCCUACUAAUUGAGUUAAGGAAGCAAACCUCUCCAUUUUUACCGUUGAUGCAAUAGAAGUUCUUAAUGCAAUAUUUGGUGGUGAUUGGUGAUGACGUUCUCACUCCUAUAAUUGGAGUUGAUAGUACUAGUUAUGUUAGAAUAAGAGCUCUCGCUACAACAUGUUAUGCAGAUAUCCUUCGUUAUACUUUAAGAUUGUAUAUAUCCUUACCGUCAAUAUUUUGGCAUGCGUAUUUCCUUAAAACUAAUGCCUGGACACGUGACUUCAUCUCUAUAAUUUACCAGACAUUUUAUUAAUAUUUUUUACCAAAAAUUAAAAAAAACCCAUUUUCAUAAAAUCAUCCACCCAUGACCCAAACCUUAUUGGUGACCCAAAAUCCAAUACCACCGUCGUCGGACUUAGGAGUUCGCUCUAUCUUCUUCUUCUACUUAGAUUUUUAGGAAAAAAAACACUUGUAUCCCAAAAAGAGAAACUAUCUACAGAUGGCUACCCAUUUGCUUUCAUACCUCCAUUCUUAACUACUAAUUCGUGUUUAUUGCUUGAUACCAUCAAUGUAUAUAUAUACUGCGAUGGUAUCAAAGAGGAAGAGACAAUGCUUUGGUGAAAACAUUACUCAGUUACUCUUUGAUACUAUUAGAGUUUAUAUCUAUUUACUGUAAAAAGUCUGCUCAAUUACUAUUUGAUACCAUUAAAGUAUAUAGAUACCAUCAGAGUUUAUAUAUACUCCGGUGGUAUCAAGGAUGAAAAAGUUAUGGUAUAGUGAAUAGAACAAGGGACCUUAAUGUAAUGAAUUACGGGACCAUUUCUUUAUCUCUUGUCCUAAAGCAAAGUUUUUAUGGGAAAUGUUUGCUAGUGUUACUGGUGUGUGGGGCCUUUCUUGCAAGUAAAGGACACUAUUUUUAAAUGAUGAAAUGUAAAUUGUACAUCCAAACUGAGAUCUUUGUUAAAUAUUAUCCCCAAUUUUAUAAUCUGAAAAAUUAGUAAAGGGAGAAACAAAGUAAAAUAUGGAGGAGAAAUCUCUAAUUUCAGCAUGAUAUCAGAAAUCAAUAGAAAUAUUCAUAAUCUCGACGUGAUUAAAUACCCUUGGUUGAGGUAUAUUCCUAAAGAUUGGCCAAUGAGAGUUAAAUUCUUUGAGAGCUACAUAUAUUUUAAAGUCAUCCACCCAUGACCCAAUUAUGACCCAAACCUUAUUGGUGAUCCAAAAUCCAAUACCUCUGUCGUCAGACUCAAGAGUGCGCUCUAUCUUUUUCUUCUACUUAGAUUUUUGGGAAAAGAACACUUGUAUCCCAAAAGAGAAACUAUCUACAAGUGGCUACCCAUUUACUUUCAUACCCCCAUUCUUAACUACUAAUUCGUGUUUAUUGCUUGAUACCAUCAAUGUAUAUAAAUACUGUGAUGGUAUCAAAGAGUAAGAGACAAUGCUUUGGUGAAAACAUUACUCAGUUAUUCUUUGAUACCAUUAGAGUAUAUAUCUAUUUACUCUGAUGACAUCAAGGAGGAAGAGACAAUGUUUCAGUAAAAAGUCUGUUCAAUUACUAUUUGAUACCAUCAGAGUAUAUAUAUACACCGAUGGUAUCAAGGAUGAAAAAGUAGUGGUAUAGUGAAUAGAGCAAGGGGGCAGUCGCGUAAAUAGUUUGGGCCGUGAAUCCAAUCAGGAUAAAUAAUUUGGGUUGAGUCUAAUUUGGGUAAAUACUUUACUUAAUGGGUCUAAUUUGUGUAGUUUUCCCUAGAUUUUCCUAUUGUUAUCUUAUUUUCCUUUUAACUGUAUUCCUAAUUACUGAAAAUUAGAAGAGACAUUACAUUAAUUAAACAAGAUUACAACUAAUUAAUUAAAGGGUAGUUCUAAACCCCUGCAAACUCUCUUAUUCGACAAUUUUCACAUGUUCUCCGUUGCCAGUGAAAAAUUAAGGUCGAACUCAAUGCGCUUAUCAUUACCCAUAAAAUCGAUCACUGAGGAAGAAUCUGACACUUCGAUGCCGGGAACAACACAACCAUCUUCGUUGAUGAACACCGUUAUCUCCUUAUGAUAAUUUAUUUCUUGAUGAUUAAUUUUAUAUUGUUGAAAAGAAUUUCCAAAAAACACAACCAAUUCAAUGGAAGAACACCUCAGUAAUCGGAGAAAUUAAGAUGAAAUUAAGGACUUUGAAACAAAAAGUUACCUACACAAUUGGUAAGCAUAUCAACGGAGGAGGAUGAGCUGCUGAUGCUUAGAUCAAAGGGCGACGGGGAUUCAACUGUGAGCACCACAUUCAAUGAUUCAAUAAUGCCAUUCUUUCUAACUUGGAGGUCAAUUCACCGACAACAACGAAAUCAAUAAAUUUGUCUUUGUUUUUCUCCUCAAAACUUAAUUGGAGUAGGUAAAUAGGUUGGUGGAGAAAGUGAAGAUGAAUUUUUUGAUUUCGGUGCCGCCGGUGAAUUAGCCUCUAAGUCAGAAUAGUACUGUUGAGUCAUCAAAUGCGGUGCUGGCGGUUGAAGAACCGUCGCCUUUUGAUCUAAGCCUCGAAAUCAUCAACAACUCAUCCUCCUCCAUUGGUAUGCUUACCAACGGUGUAGGUAAUUUUUUAUUACAAAGUUCUUAAUUUCAUCUUUCUCCGAUUGCUAGAGGUGUUCUACUGUUGAAUCAAUUUUCUUUUUUGGAUUGUUUUCAAUGAUAUGAAAUGAAUCAUCGCGAAACAAAUUAUCGUAAGGAGAUGACAAUAUGCAUCGACGGAAAUAGUGUUGUUGUUUCAAGCACCGACGAGUCGGAUUUUUCCUCAGUGAUCGAUUUUAUAGAUAAUGAUGAUUAUAUUGAGUUCGACCUUAAAUUUCCACCGGCAUCGGAGAACAUGUGAAAGUUGUCGAAUUUGAGAGUUUGCAUGGAUUUGAAACUGUCAUUUAAUUAAUUAAUUAUAAAUUUAUUUAAUUAAUGUAAUUUCUUCAGUAAUUAAGAAUAGUGUUUAAAAAAUAAGAUAACAGUAGAAAAAGAAGAUAGAGUAGACUUCUAGGGUCUAACAUUGGCGGUAUUGGUAUAAUUAUUUUAGGUCACUAAGAAAUAGGGUUUGAGUUAUAAUUGGGUCAUGGGUGGGUAAUGUUAUGGAAGAUGAGUGAGUUUUUAAAUUUUGAUAAGAAAAUAAAUUAAAAUUUUAGUAAAUUAUUGAGAUGAAAUCACGUGUCCAACCAUUAUUUCAAUAGUAAAAAAUUAAAUAAAAAUUUGAGUAAAUUGUUCAUACAAAUCUGAACUUAAUCCCUCAAAGAGAUAAUAUGACUUCUUUUUCAGAUUUAAGGUCAAUCAGUCUUAAUAAUUUUCUAAAUAAGGUCAUUUCAGGAUUUAUCCAUGAUAGGCUAGAGGUAUUGAUAUCAAAUCAUAUCUCUGCUAAUCAAUUUGAAUUUGUCAAAGAUAGGAACAUUAUAGAGAAUAUCGUACCUGCAUAGAAAAUUAUAAUAGAUACAUUAGAAAGAGAAGUAAGAUUGCUAAUAUAGUCUUUAAACUAGAUAUGAGAGGAACAUAUGAUAGAGUGAUCAACUGAAGAUUUUUUAUGAAAAUUCUUAACAAAAUGGACUUUAAUAAUGUAUUUUUCUUAAAACAUUUGGAGACUAGUUGCUAAUAAUUGGUACUCUAUGUUGAUUAAUGUUGAAUUUCUGCUUUCUUUACUCUACUAAAGAGGUCAAGUAAGGGGAUCCCUUAUCCUCUUCAUUAUUCAUUCUAUCUGAUGAUAGGUUUUUUUCAAGGGCUCUGAAUAACAUAUACUCUUGUCCAUAUUAUAGGAGAUUUUGUCUACCUAAGUGGAGUGAAAAUAUUACUCACUUGGUCAAUGUUGAUGACACUACGAUUUUUUAUAAUGCUGACAGAUUCUCUAUAAAGUCUUUGAUGAAAAUUUUAUAGGUCUAUGAAAGACAAUCAGGGUACAAGAUUAACAAAGACAAAGUUGCCUUUUUUGUUGUUGCGUAAUAUGACUUCUUAAAGAGAUAUUCAACUGGUAUAAGAAUUCUCAGGUUUUCCUAGAUGAAAAACGUGCGUAAUAAAUUACAAGCUUAGAAAGAAAAUUAUUAUCUUUAGAAGGAAAAGUUGUUCUCAUCAACAAUGUUCUACAGAGUAUCCCUAUAUAUUAACUAGGAUAAAUUAGUUAACUAGUCAAAAUCUCUAACAUGAUUAUUAAAAAUGUCAAAAUGUCAAUAUUUUAGCAAAGAAAGUGUAUCCGAAUAUACUUCAUUUACCUUCCUUUUAUUUCUCAAAUUUGCCCCAUUUUUUUAAUUCAUUACAUGUGAAAGUUAAAAACAAAGACCCCACCACCCACUUUUCUCUCUCUAAAUUUUUUACUCAAAUUCUAUCCUUUCUCUUUUUCUCUCUCUCACAAUUUCUUCCAUUAUUCCAUAUCUUCAAGUAACUUAAAUCUUGCCUUUUCUAAAUUAAAUUCCUCCAUUUUUUUCUAAUAAAUCUCAGAAAUCAUUCAAAAGAUUUUCAACCAUUGUCAAAGUGAAUUUGACUGAUGUGCGAUUGUUUCCAUUAUGGAAGAAAUUUUGAAAUAAUUGAUUGAGAUUUCGAAGUGAAUUGGAUUGAUUUUGUUGAACUUCGAGAUUGUCGAUGAAAUACAAAAACGAUCAAGGUAUUCAUUAACUGUUGGUUCUUUAAUUUGUUUAGAAGUGAUUCGAAAAUGACUAUUGAAAAAGUGAUUCGAAUUUGGAUCUGGAUCGUAUUUUGUAUGUUGGAUCUGAAGAUCUUCAUAAGUUACUAUCUGAAUAUUGGAUUUAAAGGUUAGACAGUCACUGAGGUAUUCAAUUUGGGAGUUUCGGAUCAAUAUCUCAUCUAAGACACUUUGUUGGACGGCAUCAACAAUUCUAGUUAUCUUUUCAAGGAAUUGAUGUAUUUUUGCAUCUUUCUCACAUGCAGAAGGACCCAAAGGAAAUGCAAGUACAGAAUCAUCAGCCAUAUUUCAAAGUUAAAAAAUACAUUUUUUAAUCUGUAAUCCGUUUGGGAUACAAACAUUGAAUUGUUUUGACUUUUUUUGUAUGUUGGAUGCUUGGAAUACAAAAUAAUUUGGAAUCUAAUUUAGUAGAUGUUCUAUAAAUUAAACUUUAAAUACAAUAUAUUUUUGGAAUACAUAACAGAUAAGAAAUACUUUUUUUAAAAAUACAAAUUUUGAUUGUUACUUUGAUUGUAAAUUUGUAUGUUUUGAUGACUGAAAUACAAAUUUUGUUGGAAUUUUAAGAAAGAAUAUACAUUUUUGCAAAAUAUACAAAUCAAUGUUGUAUCUUUUCUGAAUGAACACAAGUAUACAUAAGUAUAUGGAUACAAAUAUGUUUCUUAAUAACUACAAAUAAAUUUGGUAUACCUAUUGGAAUGAAUACAAACUAAUAAAGAAAUACAAAUGUCAUUAUACAAAUCCAAACAUGAAAGCCACAAUGAAUACAAAUACACAUAUCAUAAUUCAUACAUAUUGGAAUGAAUACAAUCAAUUACUUUUGAAAUUGUAACUGAUGAGAAUUUUAAGUGAUAUGUUUCUUUUAAAAUAAAAUAUUAUAUCCAUGAUUUUCUCCUUUCUGUUAUUAAAUAAUUGUAUUCUUUCAAAUCAAACAAACAAUUUUUUUUUACAUAAAUCAGAAGAAUAAAAAACUAGAAUAUUGACAUUUUUAAUAAAUAUUGAAAAUAUUGAUAAGAGGUUCCAUUAAAUGCUAAAAUAUUGACAUUUUAAAAAAUUUCCCUAUUAACUAUCUGCAAUGAUUCCACUAAAUGUGUGAUUCAUGAUCUACACAAAAUGUUUGUUAGAUUUCUGUAGAUCUUCAAGGAAGGGGGCAGAAACAAGCACUAGAUUACUUGGGCUAAAAUUUGUCAAUCUAGGAUGAAAGGAGGAAAAAUCUCUAAUUUUAGCAUGAUAUCAGAAAUCAAUAGAAAUAUUCAUAAUCUUGACGCGGUUAGAUACCGUUGGUUGAUGCAUAUUCCUAAAGAUUGGCCUAUGAGAGUUAAAUUUUUUGUGAGCUACAUAUAUUUUAAAAUCAUCCACCCAUGACUCAAUUGCCACGCCCCGAGCCUACACCUUAGGCGGGACUGGCACUCGAGAACCAUUGUUGGCAUCAAGCGAACCCUUGGCCUGGCUUACCUACUCAACGGAAGACUUAAUUCAACAAAGACAAGUUUAUGUAAUAAACUGGAAUGUUAUAAUGGAACAUUCAACUUGGCCAUUAAGGCAAAACUCAAGUCUUAACAUAAGAUAAUGACAAUGAAAAAGACUAAAGAACUAAUAUCUGACUGUCUAUGAAGCCUCUAAAACAACUGAGAUGGAUGUCGGGGACAAAACCCACGACAUCCUAAUGAACUAAUAAAAUAACUGAAAGCAAUAAAAAGGAGUCCUCCAGAAUGUAAGAAGGCUCACCAACUGACUUUGGAGUGCUCACUGGAUCAAUGAUGUGCUGAAUGUCGAUCCUAGUUACCUGUGUCUGCAUCAUAAUAAGAUGCAGGCCAACUGGCAUCAGUACAUUGAAUGUACGAGUAUGCGAGUUGAAAUUCUAAACACAACAUAGGCUUGAAAGGAAUCUAAAGAACUUACUUGGCUCAACUCAACUCAACAUAACUGAACUCAUUUCAAUAUAAAACAGUUUAAAACAAGUGCAAUAUAAAAAAAAGUUGUUUAAAAUAUGAUGUCAACUCUGUGUGUAUGCAAAGAUACAUAUAACUCUGAGAUGUAUGUAAAAAUACAAAUAAACGGUGUAUUUGAGAAUACAAUUACUUCUGUGGGAGUUUCUCUAACCGACAACCUUCACGUAAGAGCUACUGUGAUGAUACAACGUUUUGCCUCACGCUGCCAGAGCCGUCCUAUACCUUGCCGAGGGUAUAGAACUUGAACUACUAAGUGGAUCCACUAGUCUAUGCUAAAAAACACUAAAGGAAUCAUCUAAAAAGUAUGACCCUUUUCUACCCAUGAUGACUACAUGGUUUAUGAGAGCUGUGAGUUGUCUGAACUCUCCCCCAUAUCGAUGCUCAAUACAUACUCCCAAAAAUAUGAUAUUAGCUCUUAUGUUUAAAACAUACUUCUUUCUGUGAUUUGAGAUUAGUGCUCAAAAACUUACUCAAAGGAUAUCUUGGAAAUCAAAAUUUCCUCUUUUGCUUCUUUUAGAAAACGAUUCCUCUUUUCUGAAAACUAGCCCGAAGGCUCUUUGGAAAUCGAGGUUUCCUUUCUUUUUUAAAUGUGAAAACAUUUUAAACCCUUUGGGAAUACAUAGUCCCCAUAUAUUUUUGAAGAAAUUAACUUCAAACUUUACUCUUUGAUCGUUACUCAACUUGAACUUUAAGUCUUAAAACAAAGUUAAAACAUUUGGAAAACUCUAAGAACUUCUCUCGACUUGACUCUUACUUCUCUUGAAUUUGAUCUUAACUUUCCUUGAAUUGGAUUAUGGAUUCAAGGUUCAUGAUCUCAUAUUUAUGGAUGAUUUCAUGAUGUUUAGAUGUACCUUAGAGUGUUGGAAUCAACUAGAAAACAUAGGUACAUUGCUAAGGAACAAGUACUAAAAGGUGGGAAAGAAAUGGGAAAGGCUGCGUCCCUGGCGAUCUGAGAGGCGCGGGGCGCCAAAGGGAAAAGUUCAGAGAUUGCCCUAGGGAGCGCUGGCUGGCGCAACGCCUCACCCCUAUCCUAGGUGUUUGGAGACUUUUCUUGCUCGUUUUUCAUCUCUAAACCCUCUAAAUUUCAAUGGUUCUUUCUCCAAACACUUAGAAUCAUCUGUACCCUCAAUAUACAUCAUAUUCUACUCGAAAAACACAACUAACAACAUGAAUCAAUCUGAAGAAAACUCCAACAACACAACCCACAAGAAUUCAAACAAAUUUCAUCAAGAACUCAAGGAUUUACUUUCAAAUCUAAUUCUUUUUAAAAAUAAAUAAAAAUAAAUCAUAUUUAUGUAUGCUAUGUUGAAAUUUGUGAUAAGAGUAUUAUGUUAAAUUUUUUGUUUUGAAAUUAUAACUUAUGUUAUAUUUUCAGUUUUAUUUGUUUUAGUAAUAUUGAAUUCAAAUUGCAAGUCAUUUUUUAGUUAGACUUGAUAGAUUAUCUUUUUGUCAAACAUUUUAAUAAUUUAUGACAUUUUAUUUAUAUAUUAAUCUUUUUAUCAAACUUGCAUUUCACGAUGUUCGUAGAAACUUUAUACUUUUAGUUUUUAUGAUAAAUUCAAUUGAAAUAUAUUAAUUUGAAAAAAUAUAAAUCAAUUAUNNNNNNNNNNNNNNNNNNNNNNNNNNNNNNNNNNNNNNNNNNNNNAAUUAAUUAAUAUAUUUUCAAAAAAUAAUAUAUAUCUUAAAUAUUUAAUAUCAUUUAUAUAGUUUCUUAAAUUUUAGUGUAAAUUUUAAAUAAUUAAUUUUUAUUUUUUAAAAUUUAAUAUAAUAUUAUGAUUGCAAUUGUGCAUCCAAACAGAACAUGUGUAAUUACACUGUGGCAUCCAAAUAGGACAUGUGUAAUUACAGUGUAGUUACACUGUGGCAACCAAACAGGUUAGUGUAAUUGUUGGAUUGUGUAAUUACUAGGCUGGUAAUUACUACCCUAGUAAUUACACCAAGUCCAAUUACCAGGUGAUUUGCAAACAGACCCUAAUUUUGCUCCAAAUCAUUUAAAUUUCAGUCUAUUCUGUUCUAUUUCCUUUCAAUUCUAGUUUAUUCAUUUCAAUUCUACUCACUCCAAUUCAAAUUCUCAGUUACACUGUGGCAACCAAACAGGUUAGUGUAAUUGUUGGAUUGUGUAAUUACUAGGCUGGUAAUUACUACCCUAGUAAUUACACCAAUUUCAAUUAUCAGGUGGCUUUCCAAACAGACCCUAAGUAAAUAAUUAAAAUUUUCUUUCAAGUUUGUCACCUUUACUUUACCUCAAAUUAAGGGUUAUGAACUUGAAAGACAUGUGCAAUGAAAGAUUAAUAAAAGUAUGAGUUAUGAAGAGGAUAAUAAGUGAGUUAAAGACAUAAAAUUAUAANNNNNNNNNNNNNNNNNNNNNNNNNNNNNNNNNNNNNNNNNNNNNNNNNNNNNNNNNNNNNNNNNNNNNNNNNNNNNNNNCAUUCAUUCAAAACAAAAUCCAAAAGAGUUGUUAGGUCGUGCACCAAAACCUGUUUUGCUAAAUAUGGGGCGCGACACCACUGAAUGCAAAGUGUCCUCUUAGGGUAAUUAUUCCCCUCUAAUGCCUGAGGUUUAAAGGAAUAGAUCAUCUUGGGAUAGAACGAUUCUGUUCACCAAUUUAUUGAUCCAAAAACAAUGGUGUCAGUGAGCCACUCAAUAGGAGAAAAGUACACGAAUAUUUAAUUGUGUAGAAGAAAAAGAAAUUUAGAAUCUUCGUUGUUUUAAAAUAAGAGGAAAUUCCUCUAUUUAUUGACAACAAAGGAUAGUGUGAACAAAUGCUUAUUGUGCCUUAUCGGAAAGGUGACAAACUUUUAUAAAAUUCACAAUUUUUCAUAAAAGUCGCAACUCUUCAUAAAAUUUGCAACUUUUCAUGAAAGUCACAACUCUUCAUAUUUCAUUCACACCUUUUUAAAAUCCAACAAUGUGUACUUCAUAUAUCAAUUCAAAGCUCUAAUAAAUGGCAUUGACCUUCAAUCUACAUUGUACCACCCCUACACAAAAAAAAAAUGAUUAACUCAAAUCAGCAAAGGUAUAAAGUAAGAUUAUUGAGAAACAGUAGACUAAUGCAUGCAACAAUGUAUACAUAGGAUUAACGGAGAAGUAGUCACAAUUCCAAAAUUAAAUAGAAAAUUCUCAAGGUAUAACUGUUAUAUAUGCAUCUAAGUCAGCUAACUCACAUAGUUUGGCCCAAUAUUUCAUUUUAGUACUAAAUGGUUAAACUUAAGUUUGGUCUAGUAUUCCAAUCUGACGAUCAGUUUCUUAAGUAAAUUCAAAGGGGGGCUAAUAUUUAUACAUAUGGAAUAUUUGAGGGAGCUUAAUUUGUAAGAUGGUGGUGACGGUUGUGAAAGUUUCUGAGAGGAGGGAGAAGCUAGUUUUGGAAAUAAAUAAAAUAAAAAGGAAUCCUGAUUUGUGGUGGCGCCACGUAGGCGGGCCUAAGGCUCUUUUAUAUAUAUAUGAUUGAUUAAGAAGAUAUAUAUUUGAUCUUCAUUCUUUUCAUCGUUAUUUUUUAAUGCAAAUGUAAGUUUUAUAUAUAAACACAUUAUUCAAUGUAAACGAUCUAUCAUAUUUAGAACAUAAGGGAUAAAUUGUAAAUAUGGAACUCACGUUCUCAGAGACUUGUCAAUCUAUUUAGGUGCACUGAAGGAAACCGUUUUGCAGCCUUAUUACAAAGAACCCUUGUACCCCAAAAAGGAAAAUUAUUUACAAGUGGCUAUUUCUUUAAUUUCAUACCCCUUUUGUUUCUAACUACUAAUUUGUGUUUACUAUUUGAUUCCAUCAAAAUAUACUCUGAUGGGAUCAAAGAAGAAGAAGCAAUGCUUCUGUGAAAACACUACUCAGUUACUCAUCUAUACCAUUAGAGUAUAUAUAUACCCUAAUGACAUCAAGGAGGAAGAAGCAUUAUUUCAGUGAAAAGAAUGUUCAAUUAAUGCUUGAUACUAUCAGAGUAUAUAGAUAUCAUCAGAGUAUAUAUAUAUUUCGAUGGUAUCAGUAGUGGUUCAAUGAAUAUAACAAGGGGGCAGUCAGGUAAAUAGUUUGGGUUGUCUCCACUUAGAGUAAAUAUAUUGAGUUGAGUCCAACUUAUGUAAAUACUUUGCCUAAUGGGUUCAAUUUGUGUAGUUUUCCCUUACAAAAUGACACAACAGACAUCUACAUGAGAUGUUUAAAACGAACAAAGCUUAGUUAAGAAAUCUAAGUAAAAAUUGGUGCCAACUUUAAGUGACCACCCAUAAGUUUGGCCCUUCUAAAAUUUAUCCACUCGAUGGUUAUACCAAUAUUGUUUGUCUUGAAGUUAUGUGUUUAGGAGAGGAUCUUUCAUUUAUUUAUUUCCUCACAUACAUAAAUCAUAUAUAAGUUUCUUCACUAGUAUAUUUGUUUUAUACAUUUGAUUUUUGAUAUGCUUUACUUCAAUCGAAGGUCAAUAGGAAUAAGAAUGCAUAUACAUCAUGCUCAUCAAAUUCAUUUGUAAAAAUUAUACUAAGUAUAUAUGUUAUUGUACUCUAUUCAUACAUAGCCUCAGACUCUUGAUGCUUCACUUUUUUUCCUUUUUUUAAAAAAUGAUUUUGGUUUGGAUCAAGUGGAUGUCAUUUGUUUUUCAAAAAGAAAAAACUUACUAUAAAUCGCUGGAAAUCCAAUGAGAACAUCAUAGCAUAUCAUACCAUAUAUAUAUAUAUAUAUAAAGGAGAACCCUAGGUCCGCCUACGUGGCGUCACCAGAAGCCAAGAUUCUCUUUAAAUUUAUUUUAUUUUCAAAACUAGCUUUCCCCUUUCAUGAAAAGUUGUGACUUUUAUGAAAACUUGUGACUUUAAUGAAAAGCUGUGACUUUUAUGAAGAGUUGCCCAUUUCAUGGAGAGUUGUGACUUUUAUGAAAAGUUGUGACUUUUAUGAAGAGUUGCAACUUUUAUGAAAGGUUGUGACGUUUAUGAAAGGUUGUGACCUUUCCGAAGGGUUGUGACUUUUCCAAAAAGUUGUGACCUUUCUGAUAAGGCACAAUAAGCAUUUGUUCAUACUACCCUUUGUUGUCUAUAAAUAAAGGGAUUUCCUCUCAUUUUAAACAACGAAAAUUCUCUACUUCUUCUUCUACACAGUAAAAUACUUGUGUACUUUGCUCUUGUUGAGUGGCUAACUGACAUCACUAUUUUUGUAUCAAUACGCUGGUGAAUAAAAUCGUUACAUCCUGAGAGGAUCUAUUUCUGUAAAUCUUGGGUACUAGAGGGGAAUAAUUUUUUAAGGGAACAUUGUGCAUUUAGUGUACUCGAUUUUUCCUUUCUGUUUCAUUCUAUUGUUACAGAUCCUGGUAUGUUCUUUUAAAGUCAUUAAUUUAUGCUUAUGUUAUUAAUUAUUGUUUUUAUUACAUGUUUAAACUUUGUUGUUUAUGUUUCUGCAAAGUUAUUAUCUCCAGUUAUAAUGAACAUAUACACUCAGUUUCAAAAAUUCAUGUUUUGAUAUUCUAUAUAAAAUUCUAUUGCUUAAAAGUACUAUAUAUAAGCUUACAUAUUCUCUAUUUUUACAUAGAUAAGAAGUUUCUUACGUAUCAAUUGAAGAAAUUCAUUAUGCAAGUUCAAAAAGUUAUAAUUGCUUUCAUGUUCAAGCGUAAUUUUUUUAAAACAUUUUUUUAAAUAUUUUCAUGGGACAUAGAUCACAAUUGUAUAAACUAUGCAAGUUAAAUGUGUUCUUUUUCUUACGAAACGCCUUCGUAUUUAUUUUUAUUUUCUUCUUUAUUUUCCUUUUAAUGUUGAUAAAAGAACCAAUGAUUUAUUAUUUCCUGAAUAAUUCAAUUUCUGAAUAAUUUGUUCAUUAGAGUUCUUGACUUAUGUAAUAAUGACAAACAAUCAGAUUCAUGUUGAAAUAAUGCUAAUAUUUAUUUAAGAAUCUAUUUUUCCAUUAUUUUAAUGUAUGGAUAUUAGUAAAAGAUUAUUUGUAAGUUCAAUGCAAUUAUUCUUCCCGCGGGCAAAUUAUCUAGUAUAUAUAUAAAAGAGAAUCUUAGGCUCGCCUACGUGGCGCCACAAACCAUAAUUCAUUUUUAAUUUACUAGCCUUAUCCUUUCAUGAAAAGUUGUGACAUUUAUGAAAAGUUUCGACUUUUAUGAAAAGUUGCGACUUUUAUGAAAAAUUGUGACUUUUAUGAAGAGUUCCAACUUUAAUGAAAAAUUGUGACUUUUAUGAAAAGUUGUGACAUUUCCGAAGGGUUGCAACUUUUCCAAAUAUUUGUAACCGUUUCGAUAAGGCACAAUAAAUAUUUGUUCACAUUAUCCUUUGUUGUCUAUAAAUAGAGGAAUUUCCUCUCAUUUUAAAACAACGAAAAUUUUCCAAAUAUUUGUAACCGUUUCGAUAAGGCACAAUAAAUAUUUGUUCACAUUAUCCUUUGUUGUCUAUAAAUAGAGGAAUUUCCUCUUAUUUUAAAACAACGAAAAUUUUGAACCUCUUCACAAUUAAAUAUUUGUGUACUUUGCUCCUGUUGAAUGGCUCACUGACACCAUCGCUUAUGUUACAGAUUCUGGUAUGUAUUUUUACAAUGAUUUAUUUAUGCCUAUGUUAUUAAGAAUAAAUGAUAAGAUGUAAUAAUUUUAAUUUUCCUUUACCUUGUUAAUGUUUGUUACUAUGUAAUCUUGUAUGUAAGACAAUAUAAUGUUUUAGUUUUAAUGAUUGAUAGGAUUUAAGUAUUAUUUUGUAAAUUAUGUGAUAUUAAAUUCCCGCGCGAAGCACGAAUAAUUUUACUAGUUUUCAAAAAAGAUAAAAUAAAAGAUCCCAGCAAGAAACUUGAAAGAAAAAAACAAUCGUUCAGCCAAGAGCGAGAGAAAAAAAAUAUAAUAUACACAAAAAAGCUCACAAGUGAGCGAGUUAUGAAAAUAAAAUAGACGGCAUUUACCGUCGGUUAACUCAAAAGGCAUCUAGCGAUAUGUUUGUUUUCGGUUAAUUCAAAAAUUAAGUUAGCCCUUUUUGCAUUUUUUGGGAAAAAAAUUUGACCAUUUUGACUCCAGAUUCCACCAAAACAGUUGCUCCAUUAAACAAAAUUAAAUAUGAUAGGUGAAAUAAAAUUCCUUACACAAAACUCACCUGAACCCUUCCCCUAUCAAGAUACAAAUCUUAAAAUUAAUAACGAAAACUGUUAAAUUUCCUAAAUCUUAAUAUUACUCUCUUCACAAAAAAUUUCUAAAACUUGCAAACUAUUCUACUUGAGGAUCAAAGUAAAUAACUUUCGAAGAGUUGGCAACGCAACUAAUGUACACAUCACAUCUUAGCCUUUUUGAAGUCAUUUUUAACAUAUGGUUUUGAAAUUUCCACAUCAAAUUUUACUCGCAAGAAAAAUAGAAUGGAAAAGAUGUGAUUGGCGGAAUAACUGCGACAUUUUCAUUUUGAAAAUCCCCCAUAUUUCAUAUAGCAAUAUAAACCUCGCAAAAAGUGAAAAUAUCACUCAAUAAUGAAACAAAGCAUGAGGAACAUCUACUAAGAAAUAAAAAUUCACCUCCGAUAUGUAUCACAAAUUUAACCCUAAUAACAUUAUUAUUUUCAUUAAAGUAUGACCAACUCAAUAGCCGGAGGCACUUCACAUUCAAGCUGGAGCUUAGCAAGAUUUCUCGAAGCUUGCGUGUGUUUGAUUUCGCUAGGGCACGGAGGGAUACGAUAAAAAAAUGGAGUACCUGGAUCAAUAAUGAUUUUCUCAAGAGCAACACCAUUUUCCAAAAAGUACCUAACGAGUUCAAGUUGAAAUAAGCCUGUAUAAAACCCCGAAAAUUUGACCACUUUGAGGUGAUGGAGUGGGCAUUUUAUGGCUGCUUUCUUACACUCUUUCUUUGCCUCGAAGGGGAUUGACAUCACCUGCCGUAAAUAUAUACAACACAAAUUAAAAUUAAAAUAAAAAAUAAUGAUAAGAUAAGUCAGUAAAGCUAAUAAAAGAAAAUUUUGAACAGGCCUUUUUCUUGGGACACAAGUUAAAUGAAAAGAAUUAAACUUUGGGGAAUCAGUAUAACAUAAAACUAUGUACCAAUCACUGAUGAACCAUGAUUGUAUCAAUCGCUCAUGUCAUUUGACUUCUCCUACUACUUUGUUCUUCUACAAAUUCCCUAAAGUAUUUACCACACGGAGGAAGGAAAGUGGGGAAUAUGGACAAGAAUAUUACAGACGUGGAGUGCUCAAUUUUCUGAGAGAAUUGCAACUUCUUUCAACAUGUUUGGGUCGACUUAUUUUAGACUAAGUUGCUCGAAAUCGGUUGUGGAUCUAAAUUUUAAGAUUCGGGAUAUAUGGCUUCCUUGAUCGACUGAAUGAAAACUUCCCAUUAUCAUGUAAGAUGCCUCCUAGUCAAGUUGACUAAUUCAACAAUAUUCAAUCACCACUACUCAUUAUCCAUGUUCUAGACUCUCUCUGAGAAAAAUCUUAACUUGGAGAAAUUAGGAAACAAAAGAAUACAUAAGUGACUUAUCAUAUAAACAUAUUCGAGCUGCAUGCCGGACUUGCUAACCGAAAUGAACCUUCUCCAACAUUUCUUUUCAAGAACCAAAAGAUUUGUGCCAAAAAGAACAAAAGUUCUAGGAAACCUAAUCAGAAGGUCUAGAAGAUUCUCAACCUAACCAGUUGUACAAGGUCUAGAAGAUUCUCAACCUAGGCACAAGGAAGGCACAUGAAGAGCAAAAUGGCUGUUAGAGUUUGUUACAAAGUAGUCCAAUAAUUAGGUGCCAAGUGUACAAAUAAUCAUUGUUUAAUUCAUUUAUUUUGGUACAGAAUUUAGACCUAGUUUUGUAUAAAUACAAUAGCAUGUACAGUAAACUUAUGAGGUGGAAUACACAGAAAUUUGUGUAUACAAUUUCUUUGGAAUGUGAUAUUCAAGUUUUCAAAGCAUAUGAUGAUAACCAAUCAUACACCCAUUCCAGCAGAGUGCAGACUUGGGAAUAGGCGAAUCUUAAUGCAAAUUCGAGAAAAUGAAAAAAGCUAUAGAGGGAUCCAUUGAUUUAGCGGAACAGCAAUAGCAAUCUUAUGAUAGUGUUGGCAAUCUGAUUAUGGUUAAUAGAAAGGAAACUGAACUUAAAAGGCAGACUUUGAGUUCAAACAACAAUGCAUGUCGAAAAAUUAUACAUAAUCAGAUUGCUGGAUUGGUAAGUAUGAUCAGAAAAGGGUGAACGGAUAUAGAAAAACGAAAAGCCUAAAAGAAGCACUUGGUAGAACUGGAACAAAUAACCAAUGCUAAAAAACAUCCUGGAAACAACAAUUGAGGUGUUUCUGGUUAGAUGAAUGAGACAAGAUACUAGAGGUGUCAAAUGGGCGGGUUGGUUGAAAUUGGAGAUAUUAAAAUGGGUUGAAAUAGAAAUUGGGUUGAGUCUUGACCCGCCCAAGUUUACUUUGGGCUCAAAUGGGUUGGGCUCAAAUGAGCUUAAAAAUGGUUGGGUCUUUACCCGCUUAAUCUCAAUAGUUUUAAUAUAUUGUUUAUUUAAGUUUUAUAACCACAUUUUAGAUUUCAACUUAAGAAAAUUACAAAAAAAGUUACAAAUGGAUAGAUAAAUCCUAAAAAAUAUAAAACAAAAGUAAUUCAUACCUUCAAUAUAAGAACAUACAUUACAUCAAUACAAAUAAAGAGUCUUAAAAUGGGUUGAAAAUUGAAAAUUAAAUUGGGCUCAAUUGAGGAUUCUCUUAAAAUGGGGGUUGAGAUUAAACCUAAUUCAAAUUAUCUUAAGCCCAACCCUUAAAAUUAUGGGCGGGUUGGGCGGGUUACCUAUAGGUGGGCUCAUUUUUGACACCCCUACAAAAUACUAAGUGUUUUACUGUAAAUUGAUCAAUACAAAUAAAAAGUACAGCCAUAUAAACUAACUUGUAAGAGAUGGACGAACUACCAAAUCCAAAGGUCAUCAGAUGAGUGUAAUGCUAUGAGAAGUUAUUUAGUAAAACCGAGCAAUGAUGGCGCCUUCCAGUUACAAUGACCUUGAGCUAUUAUCACGGGAAGAGUGUUGGCUACUAAGAAAUUUUCUCGGAGAAGUAAUGGAGAUGGUCUAGUGGUGAUAACAACUUUAGGGCCAGAUGGGCAGAUAAUGUCUUCUUACCAGAAAUCUAGGAACUUUUUGGAAAGGGACAUUAUCAGUGCAUUGCACUUCUUUCAUGAGACAGAAAUUUUUACAAGAGGCUGGACUGCAAUAUUCACAGCAUUGGUUCUUAAGAACAAGGUAAAAGGAUGAGAUUACUACCGGUGGGGUCCUAACAACAAGGAUGAAACAAGUAUUGGCAAGUAGAUAUCAAGGUCAAAAAAUGCAUGUAUUUGUAAAGGGAAGGACAAACUAUAGAUCCAGUGUUAUUAGAAAAUGAAUUCUUGGAGCCUUAAAUAGAAUUAAAGUAGCAAGAAUUAUUUGUUAGCUGGACUUGAGAAAGGUGUACUAGACUUAUUCAGAUCGAUGGAUCUCGUCUCCUUAGCAUCAAAGCCAAGACUCCGUCCAAAUCUAUCACUCCUUGAGCGAAGCCUUCUUUACUAUGAGAGCACCGAUGAAUGAUUCAUUCUCAAGUUAUCACCUCAGACUAGGGACAACACAGGAUCAAGCAAAGAUUUGACCCGGUGGAACAAUCAUGUAAACUGGCAAUAUUACUGAAGCUUUUGAAUCAACACGGUUUGCAAACAAAUGGAAAAAUAUAAUUAGGAUAUGCAGUUAAAUAGGAGAACCCCGUUAUCCCAUUCUCUUCCUAAGCAAUGGAAACAUUCAGUAAGAUGCUGCAUUAUGCCAUGAAUAUAGUAUGGAUAAAAGGAGUCAAAAGUUGGGGAAAGUUGUACAAAUGAAAAUAUGGAAAUUUUUCAUGUACACGAUAUGCAGACUAUACCCUAUUUCUAUUUGGACUUGAGGAGCGGAAGAUCAUGCAUCACAGAUCUCUACUAUUACACUUUGAGACAGCACUUGACUGCAUUUAAAUUGAGAAUCCAGGCAGAGACAUACAUGAGCAAGUCUCUAAUGCCAGAUAUAGAAGUGCAAUAAUAUGGCAGAGAGUGAUACAUAAGGUUGAGAAGAUUGGCAACCCGCAAGAAACUGUAUCUAUCAUUUUUUAAGGUGCGAAGACGGUUCGAUAAUGCAAGGAGAAAGAUGUGGCAAGUUGAUUCAAAGAGCAUAAAAAUAGAGCUAUAUUCUCUAAGAAGAGUAGUUCAUAGAUAAAAACUUUGGGUAUUAAAAAAAGUGUCUAUUGUCGAAUUAGUUUGUGGAGAUAAAACACAGUAGAGCAAAACAAUUUAUGGAUUAAGCUGUUAAACAUAGAGCAUGGCAACGAUAUGAGAUGUUCAAAAGCAAAACUAAUCAAUACAACUGAUGAUGUCACAGUUUGAAAGUACAUUAGAACUUAUGGAAUUGAUUCUUUUAAUCUUGUGAAAGCUUUUAGUUGCAAGAAGAAGAUAAAGUUUCAUGUACGCCGGAUCAAGAAGCUUUAAUAACUUAUUCAGAAUUACAUCUCAUAGCUAUCCAUAUAAAAGAUGUGAUUGAAGAAUACAGAGAAAGGCUAUCUUUUAAUAUUAGAUUAAGAAGGAGAUUGCAUGACUGGGAGGUUGACAGAACAACAGAAUCUUCUACUUGUAAAGGUUGGAGCCCUCUUGGUGCUUUUUUAAAUAACAAAGUGGGAAAAGGCAUAAAAACCCUAUGGACUUAUCUCAGUUUUCCAGUUACACACUUAUUCUUUGUGAUGUCCCUACGACCCCUAUACUAUUUUGUAGUGCAAAAAGUACCACCGUAAGUACUGACAUGGAAAAAAUAAACAAUGAUGGUGGCUCUGUUUUCUUGCGCCUUGUAAGGCGCAUAGGGAGUUGCGCCUUGUAAGGCGCUACCCUAAUUUAAACAGCAUCUCCUCUACCGUUUAAAUGUUGCCCUUUUGAUUUCAAACCCUUUUGGAAUUUUUGGUCAAUUUUUUUGCCCUUCUGGCUCCGUACUCGUGUUUUUCCUUUCAAGUUUUUUUGUGGUUGAGAUUAUCAAUAGUUUUUUUUAUAAUGUUUCGCGGUAAUUCUUUUAUUUUAAUUAUUAUUUUAUUACUUUUAUUGUGAUAUGUAUUGUUUUUUAUUUAAUUUAACUAGUAACUAAAAUUAUUUUAUUGACUUCUCUAUGUCUAUAGUGAUUUAUAUGAUUGUUUUUUAUAGUUAUAAAAUGCUAAUAUGAUUUAAUUGCUUUGGAACUUAUGUUUUCUACUUCCAUUAGGAAAGUAAAUUUCCUCAUUUUUAAGGAGCUUGUUUUCCUAGAAAAAAUAUUUCACAAAAUAUAUUGACAAACCAAUCAUGAAAAUAGAUAAACAUUUUUCUCCAUACAAAACACACCCUAGAUAAUUUUUUUUACUUUUAUUGCUUGAUUUUUAUUGAAAAUAUUAUGCACACAACUUUAGCCAAGUGCGUGCACCCACUCAUGAGUAGGAAAAACAUAAUUUGUGUAUCUACUCAACUACAAAAAAAAAAUCCUGGCUCAGACACGGGGGUGGGGGGCAUGGAUGGUGGCCUGGUGGGACAAGUGGUGGAUCACCGCUCGAGAUUUAGAAAAGGGCCUAAAAAGUAGAAGAAAAAUUAUAUCUUUUGGACUCUAGAGCCUCUAUCAUUUAGCUUGUAUUUGUCUUUUCAUGCACUAUAUGGAGGUGCAAAGUAAAAGCCACAUCAACACUUCCUAUGGUAUUAUUCUACUACAAAAUAAUUCAUAGAACAACUUCAAAGAAUAAGUGUAACAAGAAAUCCGAUACAAGUUCGGGUAUUUUUUCUCUUUUCCCUUAUAUAAUCGUUACUUGAUUUUUUGAAAAAAUAAAUAUUCAAGAGAGAGAACAUCAGAUACCAUGUGAAGCCCUAAGCCUCCUCUACAAUACCAUCCAGGCUCGAUUCUGACUCUUUGAGCCUGGAGUCAUUUGAUUGGGAUUCAGGAUGCCACCUUCGAAUCCUACUAUUAGAAUUUGGAAGUUCCCCUCGGUUCUAACAACAUUUUGUAAUCCCUCAUCUCUGAAACCUCUACCCCACUAAAUUCCUCCUUCACCCAUCUACCUAGCUAGGCAACAACUUACUUCUCAAUUUUCUUAGUUGGUUGUUCUCAUUUGAAACCAACCAGUAUAAUUAUGACAAGAAAGUAGGUUUAUAAAAGAUGCUCAGGGUUGGAAUUUAAGGUUCAGAAGACCUUUAAAUGAAUGGGAGGUGAAUAGAAUGGUUGAAUUUCUAAAUAUCCUGGAACGAUACAAGGAACUCAGUAAUAGUGAAGACAAACUGUUAUGGGCUCCAGAUACACAGGAGAGAUUCUCAGUUGGAACAGCUUACAGAAACUCACAGAGGACACACACUCAAUCAAGCUACUGGCCAUGGAAAAUGAUCUGGAAAGUUAAGGUGCCCUUCAAGGUGGCAUGUUUUACUUGGCUCUUAGCAAAACAGGCUGUUCUCACACAGGAUAACCGUAUGAAGAAGGGCCUCGAUUUGUGCUCCAGAUGUUUUUUUUGUGAGUGUGAGACAGAGACAAUAAAUCAUCUCUUUUUACACUUUAAGGAGACAUUGAAACUUCGGCAAAUUUUCAUCAAUAAAAAGGGCAUCAGUUGGUCUAUGCCAGGAAACAUAAAGGAAACUUUGGCAUGUUGGAAUCGGGAUGGAAAUAAGUCAGGGCACAGGGAGAGAUGGAAGAUUGUCCCAGCCUGCAUUUGGUGGACUAUUUGGCUGGAAAGGAAUCAAAGAUGUUUUGAGAACAAGAGCUGCUCUAUGGAGAAGAUGAAGCUGAAUUGUUUAGCUCUUGUUUUUGGUGUAAACAUAAAUAUCCUCAUGAAGCCCCGUAUUUAAGUGGAGAAGGGUAGAGGGGCGGGCCCAUUAUCCACCGAGUUUAGAAGGCUAUGAUUGGUCCAAAGGGCGGGUCACUGACGGAUUUCUCGGUUAUCAAAAAAAAAAAAAAAAAUAUCCUCAUGAAAAUGAUGAUAUCCCUAGUAUCUUAGAGUUCUUGAGUUUAUAGGAAAACAGCAACACUUCUGUAUUUCUGAUUGUAAGUAUUACUGGAAUACGUCAUGAGUAUUCCUGUGUUUAUAAUACAAGUUACCUUUUCUCAAAAAAGUAGUUUUAUUAAACACAUAAUAAUCACUGUAUAGUACUUCCCAAUUCCAUCAUAUAAUAUACUGGCAACAAACAGGUGGAAACCUAAGAUUUUGGAGCAACACAAUCGACAACUGAAACCACAAUCCCAACACUCAGGUCAUUCCAUUACGCUAAACAAGUGCAGUAACUCAGUAAAAAUAUUCAAGAAACUGAAGGAAUGAUGAGGCUCUAAGCUCUUUGAUGAAAUGAUGAGACUUUAAGCUCUUUGUUACAGAUAAUAAAUCAAAGCUCAGGGACGACAGAGCUGUCUACUACCUAUCUAAAAUGACACCUAUGUAAGGGCAGGACUUUUAUAUUGGCACAGUCAGAUGAGUUAAAAUGCAAGAGUACCAUUUAUUCAAGUUUAGCUCUUCACAAUUGUUUCAACUCAAGCUCAACGACUUAAAUAACUAAGUUUAUUAAAGAAGUAGCAUCAAUAACUGCAUGAACCAGAAUUGCUAAUAUGAAUAAAUCAGACUUUUGUACACCAAAGAGGAAAAGGCAUGAUACUUACCUGUAGUUCAAAUUCCUUCAAUUGUGGGGCAGCCCUUAUUAUAGACGUGCAACCUAAGAGACUCUGGCCUGACACUCUUAGUGAAUUUCCAAAUGUAAUAAAAACAAAUUUCUUGAGCUUCGUAAGUUCAGGAAAAUUGUAAUGCUCCAAAUCUUCGUGCGGAUAAUCAAACUACAGAUAAGGCACCAGUUAGUGCUAGGCUAGUAAAACAAGAGUAGAUAGACACAAACUUUGUUCACUAACCAAUGAUAUACAAGCAUCUACUGUAAGGACCUCCAGCUGAGAGAGAACGCACAAGAGACGAGAGGAUAUGUCAUCCAAUAAAUGGGUGUAUGGCAUACCCAAAAUCUCUACAUCAACCAGCAUCGGGACAUUCUUAAGCAGUAAUACUUUUCCUGCUGAAGUCCUUAAUGAUAUAAGAUUUGUAUCACAAAUUUUAAGUGAUUUUACAUUGAAGCAACUAUAUAUCUCCAAGUGUCUCAACUUGAGGGACGGACCAACAACUUCCAAAUUUUUCAAUGUUCCUGAUCCAUGAACUUGCAUUCUUUCAAGAAAUGGACAAUUGCGUAGAAAGAACUCAAGAACUUGGCCCGUCACAUUUACAGAUUUCAAUAUAAGCACUUUUAGAGACUUGAAAUUCUGGUUGAUAAGUGAGAGUAUUUGGAGGUUAUUAGAGCAUGAAGAAGAAUCUCCAAGACCAAGGAGCCGCUCCGGAAAAGUAUAACAGGAAUCAAAAUUACGAGUGAAUGAUCCACACCUUAAUAAGUCUAACUCUAGUCUUUGAACUUUCUUAGAAAAGGCAAGUUCAAGCCAUUUGUCAAUGUCGUGCUGAGCAAAUUUGCUUAAAUCAUAGUAAACACGAAAUUGGUCAAGUCUCUGGCCUUUAAACUUUUGCAAAGCAGAGUUGACCCAUGUCAGAUACUUGUCCAUAUGCCCUUUUUGUAGCUUGGGUUGCACGAACACUUGAUCCAAGUAUUUUGUAGCAUCAAAAUCAAGGUGAUCAAUAUAUGUCCAUAAGUUUAGCCAACGCCUUGAGAGGAGACUUGUAUCUGCAGCUUCCUUAACAGAAAAGAAAGACAAUAUAUAUACCAGAAUUUCAUCAGGUAACUGACUGACACGAUCUUCUUGUGCAAUGCAGACCUCCUUUUGACACUAGAAACAAAAAAAUUGAUCAAACCACAAGAAUGACAAGAGACUGGAGAAAAGAGAUAUGGGGUUGAGAAAAACACCUUUUUUAAAGCAAAUUUGUUGGAAAGUCGCAGUCUUUUCUCCAUGGGUUCUACAUAAGAUAAUGUUUGUAUUAUUUUUAAUUUUUGUUCCAACCAGGAAGAUACAAUCAUUGCCGAAAGCUAACAAUAAAUAAAAAGGGGACCUUGAUUGCAGUUUAGAUGCAAAAACAAAGGAUAAAACAGAGACAGAGUACCACAAAAACACACUAUUUUUUUAUAAGAUCAAAAAUUGAGAGUAGGAUUCACGAGUACCUGGAAUUACUAAAGGAAGAAGAAGAAAGAUGCUGCUGCGCUGUUCCAAAUUGAGAAAUCGCUCUUACCGUGAAGACGACAGACUAGGGCUAACAUUAUAUAUAGCUUUUGCCUUUUAUAUAAAUAUAUAUAUAUAUAUAUACAUACAUAUAUGAUAUACUAUUAGAUACAAAAGCAUUAUUUUAUUUGUUUUAAUUUUAUAAUUUUGUUUUCAAUUAUUUUUAUAAUAUUUUAAACAUAUUUUUAAAAGGAAAAGGGACUAAAAUAUGCUCGAAGUAUUGAAAAUAGUACACAACUAUCCCUCAUUCACCUAUUGGCUCUCAAAUACCUUCUCCAUCCAUCUAUUGGCUCACAAAUACCCUCCACAUCCACCUUUGGGUCCAAUUUUAGCCACUUCAUUAAUGGAGGACCAUUUAAAAUAAUUAAAUAGUUCUUUUAAUUACGUGGCGCUCAACUAUUGAUUGCAAUUUAAUUAUUUAAUAUAAUUUUAAACCCACCCAUUUUUAACUAAACCCGCCCCAAUACCAAAACAACCCAACUAAUAAAAAAGAACCCUAAAACCUUCGUUCCCAAAUUUACACUCCAUUUUUCAUGAUCCUCAAUCCAACUUGAAAUUGGCCUUUUCCUAAAAGGUCACGUAUAUUUUACAUGUAAAUUUUCAUUGUCAUUUAUAGAAAUUAGGAUAUUGGAACCUAGAGGACAAGAUGGUGCAAUAAUCAACCCUUCUUCCAUGUUUCCCUUUUGCAUAUCUGUUCAUACCCAAGGACUUUUGGGACCUCAUGGUUAAGCUCUAGAAGUAAUUGAUGCUUACUAGAUCAAUUGUGUUGUCUUUUUCUGCAGUUAAAUUGUCCCUUAUAAAAAAAAUCAAUUUCAUAGUCUGAAUUUGCUAUAGCUAACUGUCCUACAGUUGGAGGACAUGCAUGUUAGCCACAUUAUGUAACACUGCACCACCUGUGAAAUGCCGUGAGAUAAUUAAAAUUGAAUUCUUAUGUUAGUUACUUAUUUUUCCUCUCUUUAUGUUGUUUUCCAUAUUUUCUUGUUCGGCAGUCAUGGGAGUAAAACAAAGGCAUUUAUGCAACCUGUACUCUUGUUGUUUAAACACGGGAAUAGAUCAUUACUCCUCUUGUCCCAUAAUAUGUACUAUCACUUUUCACUUCUCGAUAGUCAAUUUGACUAAACUUCGAAGCUAUAUUGAUUGGAUUAAAUCAAUAUUUUAAAAUUAAAAUUUAUAUAUCCCAAAACAAUACGAAAAUUUGGAAACGAAGGUUUUAGGGUUCUUUUUUAUUAGUUGGGUUCUUUUUGUAUUGGGGCGGGCAGGUUUAGUUAAAAAUGGGUGGGUAAUGAGUGGGUUUAAAAUUAUAUUAAAUAAUUAAAUGGCAACCAAUGGUUGAGCGCCACGUAAUUAAAAAGAUUAUUUAAUUAUUUAAAAUAGUGGUCCGUUAAUGAAGUGGCUAAAAUUGGACCCAAAGGUGGAUGGAGAGGGUAUUUGUGAGCCAAUAGGUGGAUGGGGAGGGUAUUUGGGAGCCAAUAGAUGGAUGAGGGAUAGUUGUGUGUCAUUUUCAGUACUUAGAGGGUAUUUUAGGCACUUUUCCGUUUUUUAAAUGAUAUAUAUGACACAUGUAAUAUUUUGAGAGUCCUAAUUUGCAAUAAACCUCAAAUGACUAAAGUGUAAAUUUCAUAUAUGACAUAUAUUAUAGUACUAAUUUCAAGCUAUAACAGUAGAUUUAGACUUUCAAGCUAUAACAUUAAAAAUUUCAGGUUAUAACAAGUUAAAAAAAAUAGUUUUUAUUAAUUGGAAAAACUUAAAAAUAAAUAAAAAGAUAAACGAAAAUUUAAAAAUAAAACGGAAUUAGAAAUAAUAAAGUAAAAAACUAGAAUUGUGGGCUGUAAUUUAAUUUGAAUUUAUUGUAGAUAAUUAAUGAUUAGCAUGAAAUAAGGGAUCCAAACUAAUUAAGAAUAUUUAGUUUCCUUAAUUCACACUAAUUUGUUAAAAUUAAUUCAAAAAUCUGAUUUUAACCAUUUUUCUUCCACGUUUCUCUCUCUUCAAUUUUCUUCCAGAAAUUUUGUCACUGGCGACUAAUUGAAUUUUUUUUUUGUUUGAAAAAUCCUAUUUUUUUUGUGAUAGACAACUACGUAUCAAUACUAAUUAAACAUGGCGGAAGAUGGAUCCUUCAGGUUAGUAUUUUUAAUUGUUUACUAUUUGUAUUUGGAUUUCAGUGAAAUGAAAAAAAAAUGAAACUGUAAAUCACAUUUUGUGAUUUUGUUUUUGUAAANNNNNNNNNNNNNNNNNNNNNNNNNNNNNNNNNNNNNNNNNNNNNNNNNNNNNNNNNNNNNNNNNNNNNNNNNNNNNNNNNNNNNNNNNNNNNNNNNNNNNNNNNNNNNNNNNNNNNNNNNNNNNNNNNNNNNNNNNNNNNNNNNNNNNNNNNNNNNNNNNNNNNNNNNNNNNNNNNNNNNNNNNNNNNNNNNNNNNNNNNNNNNNNNNNNNNNNNNNNNNNNNNNNNNNNNNNNNNNNNNNNNNNNNNNNNNNNNNNNNNNNNNNNNNNNNNNNNNNNNNNNNNNNNNNNNNNNNNNNNNNNNNNNNNNNNNNNNNNNNNNNNNNNNNNNNNNNNNNNNNNNNNNNNNNNNNNNNNNNNNNNNNNNNNNNNNNNNNNNNNNNNNNNNNNNNNNNNNNNNNNNNNNNNNNNNNNNNNNNNNNNNNNNNNNNNNNNNNNNNNNNNNNNNNNNNNNNNNNNNNNNNNNNNNNAAGCGUGUCCAGUAAUCUAAAAAAAAAGUUAUUUGAAAUUUUGACGAAUUGUAUGAUAAGUGUUUUAAGGUUGUAUUAAUUUUGAAAUUUUAUUGUUGACAUUUUUGUAUAAAUUUGUGUGACUUUAAUGGAGUAUUUUCGUAAAAAAAAUGCACAUAUUUGUUGUAUGAAAUUUGUAUUAAAAUAGUAUGAAAGUGUUUGGAAUGUACUAUUUGAAUGAUAUUUGUAUGAAAUGUUUUUUUGAUUGAAUAUAAAAAUUGUUUUGUAAUGUUAUGUCUGUGUGAAUGAUAUUUGUAUUUCGAAUUGUUUGUUUAUAAUGUGAGACUAAUUUAUAUUUUUUUAAUGAAACAGGGAAUUAUGUCGAUUUUCAAAGGAGGGGGUUUGCUGAUGUGAAAUUCAAAAGGUCAAAAGUUACCUGUAGUAGAUGUCGUCAAGUUGGACAUAACAGGAAAACAUAUUCAAAUUAUCCUAUGCAAAAGUAAUGAAUGUUCAUUUGUUAAGACUAUAUAUAAUUUAUUUAUUUUUAUUGGUUAUAUUAAUGUUUUGGUUUGAUAUAAAACAUAAUAAUUUUGUGUUUAGCGUACUAGUUAUUAUUUAUACACUGUUCAUUCAGUUAUCAUACAUAAUGCAUAUUGUUAUAAAUUUAGUGCUUGAUAUUGUGUUUCAAUUUAUACACGAUUCAUUCAUUAAGUCCACAAAAUCCAUACAUUUGUUACUAAAAAUUGUUCCAGAUUAUCAUUUCAUCUUCUACAGUUCUGCUACAAGGACAUAUUAGUUGUCAUGAUUAUUGGUAAGUACUAUUUGGACACAAAAUUAAGCCAAAGUCGAUCCAAAUAGGCUCUAAAACUUCUUUCUUUUGCCCCUCCAUAAAUAGCAAGCUUGCAAUUUAAGUCUCCACUUUCAUGGUUAAAGUGAAGACUUUUUUAUUUGAGUUAAGCAUUUGACAGAUUUUACUAAAUGAAUUUUAGAAACUAAUCUCUUCUUAUAAUAAGUGUAUCUAACCAAAGACAAGGUAACUGUCAACAAGUAGAAGCGGGGUUGUGGAAAUUUGAAUACGGAGAAGAAAAACUUCUUAGAACAAUAUAUAAGGGCUCUUCUAGGCUACAACAAUUAUAUUUAUAGAAAGAAAAAUUCAUAGAUUGUCCCCUACUUUUCAUAAUAUGUGAUAUUUUAGGAAGUCAUUUCAAUUGUUAUAGUAGGAAUGUUAAUCUUCGUGAUGAAAUUUAAUAAACUACAACUGAAAGUUCUCAAGAGAAGUGAGUACAAUUAAAAACUUUCUUUUUCAUUGUUUUGGCCACUUACAUUUACUAUUGAUGUUGGAUAGCUUUUAUUAUUUACAAUUUGUAGUAUCAAGUUCAGAGCACCUUACUUGAAGUAGGAUUAUAGUGUUGAGUUUGGAGUACCUUUUUUAUUGUAAUUUGAAUUUUUUUAUCUUUUCAAGUACACAGAAAAAGUGUAUAUUGACAAUGACACCUCCUUUUGUGUGAUGUUUUCUUAAAAUUGAUAAAGUAUUGUGUAUUAUAAUCGCAAAACUAAAACCCAUAUUGUUCAACUGCCACAAUUGUUUCAUUUGGCCAAGUUUGAGAUGUACUGAUUUUAUAACAACAAAUUUGUGAUCUACAUACUGCAAGUCCAACAAACUGUUGGAGUUGAACUGUGAUGUUAAAUUAAAGAUGUGUAUAAUGUAUUAAAACACUAUCUGAAUCUUGAGGUAUUAAACAUGUUUAGGUAGAAUGUUGAAUUUAGAGAGUUACCUAUGUAGAAAGAGUCAUUAUCUUUUAAAUAAAGAUUUUAGCUAAAACUCCUCCAAACUUUGUGUAGAAGCUUUAGUAGUGGUAAUUCACGUGUGAUUAGUCACCAAGACGGAUUGUUGGAGUAAAAUCUGGCUCAUAGUUUAUAGUUACUACUUGAAUACGUAAGUUAGUGUCUCAGUUGUGUAAGCUAUUUUGUAGGUCCAGAGUUGUAUAUGCUGUGUGAGAACUCUUAAGUUUCUGCGAUAUGCAAAUCUUAUUUGUCUUAUUUUGUAUAGAGUACAUUUGUUGAAAGAAUUUGUGCAAAUGAUGUAGAUAGGACAUCUUUUGAUACUUUCUAUUUUAGCUUGAUAUAUUUAUUUUAUAUAUCUUUGUGUUGUAAAAAAUUGUAUUGUUGCACAUGUGAGAGCUAAUAAGGAUAUCUUCAUUCUGCUUUCUUUAAUUAUACUGAAAGCAGUUAUAGAAAGCUGAGUUUGGGAUAUAUGUAAAUAAAAUAAAGCAGAGUAUUUUUUAUUUUAAAAAAAGUUAUAUAUGGGUUGAUAUUUUAAGAGUUGCAUAUCAGGCAUUUGAAUAUCGACCUUUUUGUGGAGCUGGUGAUAAGAGUAAGGAGCUUGAGUUUUAGUUUUUAGUUUUUGCUUCUCUAGGUCUGCACUUCAUUUCUUGCGUGCCAAUUCAAAUGUUUUCUUUUUCUUGUUGAAAGUUAUCUUACAGCUAUGAUGUGGUUAUAUUCUUUUCCAAUAAUAACUAAUGGCUUAUCUUCCUUUUUCAUAUUUUUUUUUGGGUGAUUGCCCUGUUUGUCUGCUUUAGGUGUCAAUUCUUGCCUUUGUUCUGCUGCUCCUCCGGUGAGUUGCAACUUUAAUUUUUUUACCUCUUUUCUUGAUCUAUUCAGUACUUUUGCAUAUGAGUGUCACCAUAACAAUAUAUAUAAAUCAUCUAUUUACUUCAUGUUAUGGCUUUUGUAUAUUGUUAUGAUUUUUUUAAUUAGUAUUUACACAUGUACACACCAGGUGUUUGAAGAAUGUGACUGCUUUUUAGCGUUGUUAAUAGUUGUAUGAUAAUUGCUUACAGAUGCAAAAGUGGGAUUCUCAAAAAGGAGAUAGAUAGUAUGAUCUAUAUCCUUUGUGAUGCAAUGAGCUGCCACCUUUCACUGCGCCGAUCCUAGCAAAGUUAGCAGAUUCAGUCUUCAUAUAUCUAUUAUACGACAUGAGGAUUUAUUGGUGAGUUCCAAUCGUUCUUUUUCUUGGUGUAUUUAUCUAAUUUCAGUUUGUACGAAGCUUUAGGACAGAAAAAGAUAGUAGAGUAUUUUUUCCUAUAUUGCAGCCUGCAGUUUUUAAGACUCUUAAAUUUCUUAAUAGGUAGAACUAAGUGCAGAAAAGAGAACAUUUAUUGUUAUAAUUUGUAUUUGUGGCAUGAUGUGAUAUAUCCAAUUGUCUUACUUUGUCUAAAACUAUCCUCUUCUCCUAGCAAUUUCGCAAUCCCAAAAUCACUUAAAUGGACAACCGUGUUUUCAUCUAGCAAAAUGUUGCUAGGCUUCAAAUCACAAUGCACUACUGGCUGUGAAUAAUCGUUAUGGAGAUAGUCUAAAGGCUACAUCGAUCAUUAUGUCCAACUUUUGCAACAUGUCUGAAUAUGCAUAAGUCAUAAGAGUGUAACCAUUUGUUAGGGCUGUCAUUUGGCAAGUACUCCAAAAUAAGGCCUUGAAAAUAUCUCAUAGAGAUUCUAUAAAUGCUCAAAUUAGUUAGACAUAGUCAUAGAAAUCAAGCUCAUGCGACACUGACAUUAGUGAAGAAUGUCCGGACUCCAUUUUAUGGGACUAAAUUGGGUAUAUUGUUGUUGUAUGUAUAGUCAUAGUACUUAAGUAGAACGAGCUACAUUAGACUUGAAACAACCUAAGUAUCUAAUAAUUUUAGUUUCAUACUUCAUUUGUUGUGCCAAGAAUUAGUGUCCAGGAAAGCUACUGCUUCGUCACUUUAAGAGGUGAACCGUUGCGAAGUGGUAUAACAAUGUUGCAAAGUUUUGAAGCGAAGCACCUUAGAGAAGCAAGUGCUUCAAUGGCGAAGUGAGGUUAAGUGUGAAGUAAUAUGAAGCAUCUCUCCUUUAUAAUAUAUAUCAUAAACAUUUUAAAAGGUUUAUUUUAAGAAGUUCAACAUCAAAAUUUUACAUUUCAGACGGCAAGGGUUUCACGUCCUCUCUGAUGAUUGAAUUUCAGGUAAGCAUCUUUUCUAGCUUUUUCUCCUUUCUUCUUCUACUUAUCCAUCGUCCUUAGGUGUUUCUUUUCUUUCAUCAUCUACUUUCUUCAUCCUAAUUUCAAAUGUAAUAGGUGAUUUUGAUCAAAGACAAUCCAGAAGAAAUUGAUUGCAACACUAGAUGCAUCUGUUAGUGUCUGAUUUAUAAAUAUAGUAUAUAUAAAUGUAGUUAGUACUCUCACAUAUGCAAAUAGUAUGACAUUCACAAAACAUGUAGAGAAACACAUUUAGCAGCUAUACUAUGUUCGAUAUAAUGGUAUUUAUAUGUAAUUUAAUCAUUUAUAUUAAUCGAUUUUAGAUUAAGAAUAAGACUACACAUUGGGCCCGUGCACGAAUUUUCGCUUAUUUUACAAAAGUCAUUCCAAGUACAUGCAUUACUUCUAUUGAUCCACCAUGUUCACCCACUAACUUCUCAAAGUUGCAAAGAUAUUUUUAGAUUAUGACAUUUCCCUUAAAAUGUUCAUUAGGAAUCUGUAAAGCUUGCUUAAUGUUGAAUAAUAGAAGAUAUGGCUUUUUCUAUCUUGUCUUGAUAUAGAAGUUUACUGUAAGCAGUGAUGUGACAAUAUUGACAAAUUUCCAUGUGAAUGAACAAAUAAAGAAGAUCUCAUUUAGAAGUAUGCGUCGGAAUGCUUUCCGGUAUCCUUGACAUAGACAAACAAAUCAUGUUGUUCUCAUUACCUUUAUUCAAUUGUGUCUCUUCAUCAGUUUUGCAGGUUAGAGUAUCUUCUUCUUCAUUUUCAGCCACUACACCAAAACAGAGUGUCUAUAACAUUUCACGUUUUUUUAUUUACAUGACGCUUGAUAUUAGAUAUAUUACUGAAAUGCUUCAUAAAUUGCAGAUAUGCAUAUUUCAUAUCUGGUGUCUUCCAGUCUUAAGUUGUCCAAUAAUCAUUUGUUUAUGUAGGAGUACAAUGUACAAUUAUUAAAUAUACGUACUUUCUAAGGACACGCUAUUUUCCCAUGAUAGAACAAAGUAUAUUUUGUUGCAGUGCAGUUGUAACUUAUAACCAUCUAAUCAUGUGAUUGCUUCAGAAGUUUUGACUGAUAGACUAUGGUGCUUAGACUCUCUUAAAAUGUUGUCGGGUUCGGAUCCUUUAAAAGUAGUGUAUUUUUGUAGGUAUAACUUUUGAAGUACUACUGAUAAAUUUAAUCAGGCUAAUAGUUUUGUUGUUUCAGGUUUGGAUGAUGGAUGAUAGACAUAAGUGAUAAAUCUAUUCAUUUUUCUAGGGGCAAAAUGUAGAUAAACACAUUGUUUGUGCACCUUUUUUUUGUGUGAAUUUCAAAGUUAAUUUUCACUUAGAUGUAUACAAAUGAUGGUGAUGGGGCUACUGGUUCUUACCUAUGAAGUAUGCUCAUGAAGCUAUGGCUGCAAUAAAUUUUAUGGGAAGGGUUGGGCACGUGUAAUUUUGAAGAUUGUUGCCUUAUGUUAAAAAGAAUGCCUACGCUUUUAUGUUGUCUCUGUGAUUUUAGACAUUUAUUAUACAAACAAGGAACUAAGGGGUCGUUUGGUACAAAUAUUGAUAAUGUAGGGAUUAGUAACGCAAGGAUUAGUAAUGCAGGGAUUAGUAGUGCAUGAAUUUUUUUUGUCAAGUGUUUGGUUCACUACUUUUUACUUAAUUCUGUGUUUGAUUUAAAACUCUACAAAAAAUUUCUUUCCUAUUAAUACCCUUGUGUUAUUAUGAGUGUUUAUUUCAUGUAAUUGGAUCAAGGUAGAUGACCGUCGAAUCAGACAAUUUUUUUAGUAGGAAUUUCUAUUCCAUUUAAAUAGUUAAAUCAAAUAUAUAUAUAUAUAUAUAAUUGUUAUUAAUUUUAAGGUGUGAUGUAUCACUAAGAAGAUCAUUGAUGGCACGGUGUAUUUCUACUUUUUUGUUGGUCAAGUAUAUCUUAAACUUAACAUAGAUUUAAGACUGCUUAAAUUGUUCAAUAUCAAAAGCUUAUUUAAAAAAAAAAAAACAAAUAGUUCAAGUGGGUAAUCGACAAACUAUCUUGAAUAAAAAAAAUUCAAGAAAAAAAUGGAGAAAAAAAAUAUUAGUGAACUCACUAAAAUUACACUAAACGGAUUUGGAGAAUUAAAAAAAGAACAUUUAUAACCAUUUUAAGAUAAAUAAAAGGAAUUAAAUUACAAAAGAAAUUUUAGAAAAAGAAAUAAGGGGUUAGUUUAGUCAUUUAGGGGUCUUAUCCAAGGUUUAACAAACCUUGGAUUAGUUAUCCCUCCAUUUUCUAGGGAUAAGAUAAGACCACAUAUGGUGGAUAAGCAAUCCAUGGAUUAAAUUAAAUGAAGUAACCAAACAAUGUAUUAGAUGGACUAAAUUUUAAUUCAUGAAUUAUUCUAUUUAAUAUCGCUUACCAAAAGACCUUGGCAUAAUAACACUCGCCGGCAAAGACCUCGGCAUAAUAACACUCACCGGCAAAGACCUCAGCAUUAUAACACUCACCGAAAAAGACCUCGGCAUAAUAACACUCCACAUGUCUCAUCACGGUGUUCAACAUCAAAGCACACAACCAAUAUCACACCAUAUAGAAAAGACAAUAUUUUGCACAAUUCAAGUCCACACUCAUGCUUUCAAGCAUUCCAUCAAUCAAUUAUCAAGGGUCAUAAUAAGGGAUUUCACAUUAUCAUGUUCAACACAUAGCUUUUUUCAUUUCAACCCGUUUUUAUUCAUUUUGAUAUAACAAGUGGACAAUUUAAACCCUUCACCUCAUUCCCAUUACUCCCAACACACAAUCAAUAAAAGAAGCAUACAAAUUCAAACUAGAAUACAAGUUCACUUGCCUUAAAUCAAUCAACAAUCACUUCAAUAGUCACGUCUUCCCCUUAUGAAUCACUUCCAAAGCAACAUAAUCUAUACAAAGCAAGUACUUAGAGUCACUCUCUGAAAACAACAGCACCCACAACAAUUCCCUUGAAAGGUGGGUCAAAAAACACGAUACCCAAUUCCAAAAAUUAAGGUUUGAAUCCAAAAAACAAUACUUGAAAACAUUGCUCAAAGCUUUAGGAAUUUAUUAGGGAAAAUCAUUUCGAAAUAGGACUUGAAAUCAACUCACAAGCUCCAUGUUAGCUAAGAACUUGGGUUCUUGAAUAACCUCAUCAUUUACCAAUCAAAACCUCAUAUUUUGAUGUUAAAACUUACAAUUAAUCAAAGGAAAAUGAAGGUUUAUGAUCAAGAACACUUACCCAACUGAUCUAGCACAUAAAAUCCUUUCAAAAUCUGCCACCAAGGAUUUCCAAGUACAAAAAUGGUGAUAUGGGGCUUAAACCCCGAAAAUGACAGCAAAACCCCUCUCUGAUGUCGCAAAAGCAAACAAGCAAACCCCUCUAAAAUCGUGGGUCUCGCUUAAGCGAAGACUCCUUUGAUUUUGCGAACCUUGCUUAAGAGAAGAGACUGCUAGCCUCGCUUAAGCGGCCAGCCUUAACAAAAGCAAGGCCUGCAGACACCAACAAAAUACAAGCAACUCUCAAAACAUCAAAAGGACUUUUGGAAUUCGUUCGGAACCCCGUACAUACAAAACACAUAUGCAAAUCAAUUAUACUCGACUUUUCAGAUUCAAUGGAACCAUCAAAACAUGAAUCUGAGGUCUUCUUGACCCAAAAUCUAUGAAAACUACUAGAAACCAACUCACGCCUUAAAAGGAUAAAACAAACUUGGGACCCAAGGCUAAAUUUUCACAAUUUCACAAUUUAAGACCUCAAAUCCUCAAAAAGAUUCAGAAUCAAAAACUGAUGACUCUCAUGGAUCAGAUCUUAUGUUUCGGGACUGAUGGAAUAGACAGAAUCCCAUUCCGACACUCGAACCUCCAAAAGACACUGAAAAUCACUUUCUUAACAACUUAGCCUUUCAAACUCUAAACUUACCAAAUUCUCAACUUUUAACCCAAAGUUUAAAACCAAAAUUUUAAAAUCAAUCAAAAACGACGCGGGGUUGACAUCGAGAGUAAAAACGGUAAUCUUCACAAAAAAAAACAAACAAUGUCUGAUCGAAUAGUUACACAAUAGUUGAAUUCACGUAACUCUAGUAGAUGCUCCAUGGUCUUAUUGUGAUAUGUGACCUAAAGAUAUACUCCCUCCGUUUCACAAAGAAUGACCUCCUUUCCUUUUUAGUCUGUUUAAAAAAGAAUGACCUCUUUCCUUUUUUUGUAACAUUUUACUUUUUGCUUUCCACGUGGCAUGUUUAAGACCACAAGAUUAAGGGCAAUUUUGUACAUUUGACAUAACUUUAAUUUAGGACCACAAGAUUCAAAAGUCUUCUUUAUUUACUUAAACUCCGUGUUAAGUCAAACCAGGUAAUUCUUUGUGAAACGGAGGGAGUAUUAUUUAAGUGAUCUUUUUGUUUCAUUAAUCAAUAUACGAUUUUAGUUGGGUCAUUAUUUUGUUUUAAUGAUUACUAAUUAGUUUUGGAGUUGCACAUGUUUUAUCUUUGUGCUUGAAUAAUUUGGUGAGUGUAUAGAUAUUUAGUACGCCCGACAGGUGGUGUUAGCGGGUAUCAAUCACGUUUAAGGGGUAGUUUGGAAUGUGACAAAGUUGGUAUCAGAGCAUAUGCUUUAAGCCAUGGGUCGUGGAGAAGUGUUUGGUAGAGUCUGGUUCAUGGUAUAUAGGCGGCCCUAAUUAUUACCUUGAGGCUACUGAACAUUUAUGAUGUUUUCCCUUUUUUCAUUCUUUGUUUGUGCGUUGAGUUAAAUCAAGUCUAACCCUUGAAUAUUAUUUCGCAGAUGUCUAAGAAACGUGGUUUUUCAUCUACUAUUCGAUCUAAUGCAUCUGUUGAACGUGGUGCAGGACUUGGUACUACCCCAAGUGGUGUCAUGGUAGGUCUCAUCGAACUAGGUAGGGGUGUAUGAAAUUGAACCGCAAACCGAACCAAACCGCGAACCGAGUCAAACCGAAAAAUAAACUCGACUAGUGGUUUGGUUUGGCUUGGUUUGGUAUUGAAAAAAAAGACCCGACUAUAUUUGGGUUGGUUUGGUUUUAACUAAAAAAAACCAACCCGAGACCAAACCAACCCGACAUUAUAUAUGUAAUUUUAAAAUUUUAUUUUAUACAUAAAAAUGUUUAUUAAUAUAUAAUUUAUAUAUUUUUCUUAAUCUUUCUCACAAUUUUAUGUUUAAUAUUAGUGGACUUUGGGCUACAUUGUUGACUUGAGCCCACUUGUUAUUUUUAGGAAUAAACAAAAGCCCAAAUAAAUUAUACAAUUCAACUAUCCCUAUAUAAUAUUCUCUAUCUCAUUUAACAAAGGUCAUUAGGUCAGCAACUCUUCACCUUCAAAGGCUUAGUCACUGUUAGGUUUUACUCCUUAGCUAUUAGGGCAUAUAUUGAGCUCGUCUUUUGAAUUUUAGUUCAAAUCAUCAUCAACUCAUCUUAAUCUAGGUAAGCAAUUGCUACUAACUCGUUUUUAGAUAUUUUUCUUGUAUUGCAAUUUUCAACAAUAUCUCAAUUUUGGGUAGUUGAAUCAUAGAUAUAAACCUAAAAAUUAUACAUCUUGGUGUCCAUAUCUAUGGUGUGUUAAGCUUAGCAACAAGAUGAUGAUAAAUUUUUUGUAUAUAAGUUUCACUUAUUUCUCUCUUUACUUAUGUUGUUUUAAUGCAAUGAAAAAUGGGCAAGUGUUCGACUCAUUGCUUUUGGUUCCAUUUGUAUGGAGGUUUUUGUUCUGUAAACAUCGUGAUGGUCCACAGAGAUAAGGAAAAACAAGUGAUAGAGAUAAAAAUUUAAAAGACUAUUAGAUUUUGAUAGCAGUAGCCAGUAAUAUACAUCAAACUUUUCUGACCAAAUAUUUUGUACUAUAUUUGUAUCUAUUUUGGUUUCAAAGUGAAAUAUACUUCUAAGUCUUGUGCACAAUACUUGAAUGGAAGUCUUGUUGAAACACAAUCUUGUAUCAGAAUACUAAUAACUAUUGUUAUGUAUGUGCAGCAACUUUCUAUUUGGAUGGAAACUACACCUUCUGUAACGGAUGUAGAUGUGAUUAAUAAUAUUCCUUCAACUAUGUCGACAAUUAUAUCUCAACAACAAGGCAAAGUAACUCCACGUCGACGCAUACCUCCUAAGCAGCAAAAAAAAGCAGCUCCUCCGGUCGCUCCUAACUCUGGAACUAUAGGUAGAGAAACAUCUCAAAUUUGGGAUCAUUUCUCCAAGUUUAUUGCUAAAGGAGGUAAAUGUAGGGCAAAAUGUAAUUAUUGUACUAAAACAUUUGCUGCCGACAGUGUCAAUGGGACAACUACGUUAUGAAAUCAUUUAACUGUGAAAUGUCUCAAGUCUCCAUUUAAGUCCGAUAAGUGGCAAACAACAUUAAAACCUAUUAAAAGAGGUUGGCCAGAAGGUGGUUCCACUGAAAAAGGGGUGUUUAAUAUGGAUGAAAUUAAGAGAGCAAUUACCGAAUUUAUAAUUAUUGAUGAGCAACCGUUUAGAGCUGUUGAGGGAGAAGGAUUCAAAAAAUUAAUGGCUAAAGCCUUUCCAAAUUUUGAAGUACCUUCUCGUGUAACUGUUGCUCGACAUUGUCUAAGGAUUUAUCAAGAAGAGAAAGAAAAGCUUAAGGAGCUUAUAAAAAACCAACGUGUUUGUCUUACCAGUGAUACAUGGACGUCAAUCCAAAAUUAUACUUAUAUGGUCGUCACUGCACAUUGGAUUGAUGAUCAAUGGAAUCUACAAAAGAGAAUUCUUAAUUUUUUUCAAACACCAGAUCACAAAGGUGAGACUAUUGCCAAGGGGAUUGAGGAUUGCUUAUUAGGUUGGGGCAUUGAGAACUUGUUUACAGUGACCUUGGAUAAUGCAACUGCAAAUGAUGCUGCCAUUAAGAGUUUAAAGGGGCGUAUUGAAGAUUGGAAAGUGGUAAUGUUUGAAAAUCAAUUUUUACAUGUUAGAUGUACUGCUCAUAUUUUAAACUUGAUUGUAAAAGAGGGGCUGGAUGAACAAAUUGAGCCUAUUUCUCAUAUAAGAAGUGCUAUAAAAUAUGUCAGGUCUUCAUCUUCAAGAUUUGCUACUUUUAAGUCCGUUGUUGAGAAAGUUAAGAUUAACACCCGUGGUCUUGUAAGUCUGGAUGUUGAGACUAGAUGGAACUCGACAUACACAAUGUUGGAUAAAGCUUUGAAAUUUGAAAAAGCUUUUGCAAGAAUGUAUGUGGAUGACCAGAAUUAUCAAAAGCAAUGUCGAGAAAUAGGUACAACAACAAAAAUCCAUCAACAGAUGAUUGGAAGAAUGUGAAAGCUUUUGUGAAGUUUCUUAAUAUUUUCUAUCAAGCAACUUAAAAUUUUCAGGCAGCUUAUAUUCUACUUCUCACUCUUUCUUUCAUGAUUUUUUCAAUCUCCGAAAUGAUAUUAUCAAGUAUACUAAACAUGAUCAUCUCAUUUUGGUUGAUAUGGAAACAAGAAUGAAAUCCAAGAUGGAUAAAUAUUGGGGUAAGUUUGAGAGUAUGAAUAUGUUACUGAUGGUUGCUGUUGUGUUGAAUCCUAGAUACAAGAUGUAAUAUGUCGAGUAUAUUCUUUCUAUUGCAUAUGGCUCUUUGAUGGGAAGAUUAAAGUCUCAAGAUGUGAGAGAUGUUUUGAAUCUCUUAUAUAAUCACUACAAUUGUUCUUGCUCUGAAGAUCCUAACGAAAAUAUUGAAAAUGAUGAUUGUGUGAUGGGUGAAUCUAGUGAUUUGUUGCAAUCUCAGUGGGAGAAACACAUGAAUAAAGAGGGAUUUGUUGUAAAAAAAAUCUGAUCUGGAAAUAUACUUGAAAGAUGAUGUAGUGAAGAUCAAUGAUUUUAAUAUUUUGAGUUGGUGGAAAGUUUCGUCCUGUAGAUACCCAAUUGUUGCGAAAAUUGCUAGGGAUAUCCUUUCUAUUCCUAUUUCUACUGUUGCAUCUGAGUCAGCUUUUAGUACAGGUGGUCGAAUUCUUGAUAGUUAUCGAAGUUCUUUAUCUCCAAAAACGGUAGAAGCGCUUAUUUGCAUUCAACAAUGGCUACGAUCGCCUUCUAAAGAAUGCAAGCUUGAAGAUAUAUUAGAGGAAGUCCAGAAAAUUGACGAAAUUGAAGAAGGUAACUUAUAUAUUCUAAUUGUUAUUAAAAAUGAUUCUGCUUUUGAAUUUUAUUUAGUAUUCAAUUUGUUUCAAUUCUUUCAGAAUACCCCGACUAACCUUUGAGGAUUGAUUAGCCAGUUGAUGUACUUUAAUUUCACGUUGAUUUGUAUUGUCUACUUUGCAGAUGUAGGCUAUGGUUUUUGGAAAAUUUGUAUAGAAGAUCUCACUUCAAAAAUGUUUUGUUCCUCUAGGUACAAGGUCCUAGGUUGUAAGUAAUGAUGGUGUAGAAUUUAAAGAUUUGAAUGUAAAUAACUCGUAUUAACUUUUGACGACUAUUUUGACUAUGCAAAAAUUGUUUAAGCCACUAUGUUACUUUCAUGAAUUUCUCUAAUGUAUGAUGAAUCACUCUUGAUUAUUGAUAUUAUUUUAUGAUUUGUCCAAAAUAGUAAUAGUAGUAAUUUUUUGAGAGUUUGUGUUCCAAAUAGAAUGGAGAAUUGCCUAUUGAACUCAUGGGCUUGCAAUGCCAAAAGAAACUACCGAAUGCUUUUCUAGGAUGAAAAAUCAUGUUAGUGUUCAACGUUUUUUUUAAAUCACUGAAAGAACACAAGCUCUUUAGUCUUUAUAAAAAAACCCGAGAAAAUCGAAUAACCCAAAAAAAACCGAGAUUGAAAAAAUCCGACUAUUAUUGAUUUGGUUUGGUUUAUAUAUAUUUUAACCCGAUACAAAUGGUUUGGUUUGAUUUUUAAAAAACCCAAACCAACCCGGUGAUGUACACUCCUAGUACUAGGGCUUAGACAAGGACAAAUGCCGCUCCUCAGCUUGAAAUUACGAAUAAGGUAGUUGGUGAUCCAGGCUCUUUCCCUCUCGACGAUGAAUUUUGGUAUAAUGUUCUGCAAGCUUUUGUAGUACUUCACUUGUAUACCUGACAGUACACUGCAUUUUCUUUUCCUUCUAUUUUUUGUUGUUCAUUUUCCAGUUUCUUUUCAUGAGUAAACAAAAUUUGAUAAUGGUUCGUAUCUUAUAUAUUUUGUUUCAAAUUAAUUUUUGAAAGGGUGCCUUUUUAAAGUACAUGCCCCAAUGUGUUUUUAUAUUACGACAUUUUUCUUUAUUGGAGUUGUUACAUUUUUUCAACACCUGUUGUGUGGAUUAAAGAAUCUCUCCACAUGCUGUGGUGAGGUGAUGUUGCCGGAGCAAUAAUCUCAACAGAGCAGUAUGUCAUAGUUAUCGUACCAAAUUCCUUGAUGGUUGUACUUUGCUUUGUCAAGACUGGAAAUGUGUCUGGAUUAAUCAAUUUCCAAAUGGUACAUGCUUCCACCAAAGUUUUUACUAUGAUCAAUUUACAUCAGCAAUGUGGGGGAAAGAAUGAGCAGCAGGAAUCCUACUAAUUGAGUUAAG